GAUGAACUCUUGCGGCGUGCUUAGCACAUGCAAGUCGAACGGGAUCGGCUGGAGCUUGCUCCGGCCGUGAGAGUGGCGAACGGGUGAGUAAUGCGUGACCGACCUGCCCCGUACACCGGAAUAGCUCCUGGAGACGGGUGGUAAUGCCGGAUGCUCCAGUCCAUCGCGUGGUGGUCUGGGAAAGAUUUUAUCGGUAUGGGAUGGGGUCGCGUCCUAUCAGGUAGUCGGCGGAGUAACGGCCCACCGAGCCUACGACGGGUAGCCGGCCUGAGAGGGCGACCGGCCACAUUGGGACUGAGAUACGGCCCAGACUCCUACGGGAGGCAGCAGUGGGGAAUAUUGCACAAUGGGCGCAAGCCUGAUGCAGCGACGCCGCGUGCGGGAUGACGGCCUUCGGGUUGUAAACCGCUUUUGUUGGGGAGCAAGCCUUCGGGUGAGUGUACCCUUCGAAUAAGCACCGGCUAACUACGUGCCAGCAGCCGCGGUAAUACGUAGGGUGCAAGCGUUAUCCGGAAUUAUUGGGCGUAAAGAGCUCGUAGGCGGUUCGUCGCGUCCGGUGUGAAAGUCCAUCGCUUAACGGUGGAUCUGCGCCGGGUACGGGCGGGCUGGAGUGCGGUAGGGGAGACUGGAAUUCCCGGUGUAACGGUGGAAUGUGUAGAUAUCGGGAAGAACACCAAUGGCGAAGGCAGGUCUCUGGGCCGUUACUGACGCUGAGGAGCGAAAGCGUGGGGAGCGAACAAAAAUAGAUACCCUGGUAGUCCACGCCGUAAACGGUGGAUGCUGGAUGUGGGGCCCCAUCCACGGGGUUCCGUGUCGGAGCUAACGCGUUAAGCAUCCCGCCUGGGGAGUACGGCCGCAAGGCUAAAACUCAAAGAAAUUGACGGGGGCCCGCACAAGCGGCGGAGCAUGCGGAUUAAUUCGAUGCAACGCGAAGAACCUUACCUGGGCUUGACAUGUUCCCGACAGCCCCAGAGAUGGGGCCUCCCUUCGGGGCGGGUUCACAGGUGGUGCACGGUCGUCGUCAGCUCGUGUCGUGAGAUGUUGGGUUAAGUCCCGCAACGAGCGCAACCCUCGCCCCGUGUUGCCAGCACAUGAUGGUGGGAACUCACGGGGGACCGCCGGGGUUAACUCGGAGGAAGGUGGGGAUGACGUCAGAUCAUCAUGCCCCUUACGUCCAGGGCUUCACGCAUGCUACAAUGGCCGGUACAACGGGAUGCGACAUGGCGACAUGGAGCGGAUCCCUGAAAACCGGUCUCAGUUCGGAUUGGAGUCUGCAACCCGACUCCAUGAAGGCGGAGUCGCUAGUAAUCGCGAAUCAGCAACGUCGCGGUGAAUGCGUUCCCGGGCCUUGUAAAAGCCGCCCGUC
rnacentral:rRNA from 1 species